UACGGAGGGAGCUAGCGUUGUUCGGAAUUACUGGGCGUAAAGCGCGCGUAGGCGGCUUUGUAAGUUAGAGGUGAAAGCCCGGAGCUCAACUCCGGAACUGCCUUUGAUACUGCAAAUCUCGAGUCCGGAAGAGGUGAGUGGAAUUCCUAGUGUAGAGGUGAAAUUCGUAGAUAUUAGGAAGAACACCAGUGGCGAAGGCGGCUCACUGGUCCGGUACUGACGCUGAGGUGCGAAAGCGUGGGGAGCAAACAGGG
rnacentral:rRNA from 1 species